rnacentral:lncRNA from 1 species
AGAGCGCGUGUGGCGGCCGAGCACAUGGGCCCGCGGGCCGGGCGGGCUCGGGGCGGCCGGGACGAGGAGGGGCGACGACGAGCUGCGAGCAAAGAUGUGCCCCGGGACCCCCGGCACCUUCCAGUGGAUUUCCUUGCGGAAAGGAUGUUGGCGGUCCCUGUGACCUGUGGAGACACGGCCAGAUCUGCCCUCCACUGACCAUACUCCCUGGAGCCUUCUCCCGAGGUGCGCGGGUGACCUUGGCACAUACAGCCAUCAUGAUGGUACUUUAAGUGGAGGCUGAAUCAUCUCCCCUUUGAGCUGCUUGGCACGUGGCUCCCUUGGUGUUCCCCUUUUACUGCCAGGACACUGAGAUUUGGAGAGAAUCCUGUUACACCUGGGAUUUAGGCACUUUCAAUCUGAAAAAAUACAUAUCCUUUCAGCACUCUGGACGGACUUGAGAACUGUCCUUACGUGACCUAAAGCUGGAGUAUUUUGAGAUUGGAGAAUUAAGAGCCAGUCUUGGUGCUCUGUGUUCACCUGGUUCAUCUGAGGAGCUGCAUCUACCCUGCCCAUGCCAUAGAUCCUGCCCUGUUUGCUUCUCCUGUUGCUGCUAGUGGACAUGAGAAGGACAGAAUAACGGGCUCCCAGAUUCACAAGCCCCACCAAGAGGAUCACCCCAGGAACGCUUGGAGGCUGAGGAGUUCACUGAGGCUACUGCAUCUUGAGACUCAGGAUGAAGACCCAGCUUGGGGCUGUCAAAGGUUUUUUGCAUGUCUGACACCCAUGACUCCACCUGGACCUUAUGGCUCCACCCAGAAGCAAUUCAGCCCAACAGGAGGACAGCUUCAACCCAUUACGAUUUCAUCUCUGCCCCAACCACUCAGCAGCAAGCACCUGUUACCUGUCCACCCCCACCCCUUCCCCCAAACUGCCUUUGAAAAAUCCCUAACCUAUGAGCUUUGAAUAAGAUGAGUACGAACUUCAUCGCCCACGUGGCGUGGCCGGCCUCGUGUCUAUUAAAUUCUUUUUCUACUAC